CCUACGGGAGGCAGCAGUGGGGAAUUUUCCGCAAUGGGCGAAAGCCUGACGGAGUGACGCCGCGCGUGGGAUGAAGGCCUUCGGGUCGUAGACCACUGUCAGUGGGAAAGAUGGGUGCCGGCGCGAUAACCGCCGGCAUCUGGCGGUACCUGCAGAGGAAGCCCCGGCCAACUCUGUGCCAGCAGCCGCGGUAAGACAGAGGGGGCAAGCGUUGCUCGGAAUUACUGGGCGUAAAGGGCGCGUAGGCGGGAUGGUAGGUCGGUCGUGAAAUCCUUCGGCUCAACCGGAGAACGUCGAUCGAUACUGCCGUCCUUGAGGAUUGCAGAGGAGACUGGAAUUCCCGGUGUAGCGGUGAAAUGUGUAGAGAUCGGGAGGAACACCGGUGGCGAAGGCGGGUCUCUGGGCAAUUCCUGACGCUGAGGCGCGAAAGCGUGGGGAGCAAACGGGAUUAGAUACCCCGGUAGUCCACGCUGUAAACGAUGACGACUAGGUGUGGGGGGGUUCAGUCCCUUCCGUGCCGCAGCUAACGCAUUAAGUCGUCCGCCUGGGGAGUACGGCCGCAAGGUUGAAACUCAAAGGAAUUGACGG
rnacentral:rRNA from 1 species